rnacentral:rRNA from 1 species
AACGUAGGAGCCAAGCGUUAUCCGAAUUCACUGGGCGUAAAGCGCGUGCAGGCGGUCUGGUAAGUUGGAUGUGAAAUCUCCUGGCUCAACUGGGAGAGGCCGUUCAAUACUGUCAGACUAGAGGGCGACAGAGGGAGGUUGAAUUCCCGGUGUAGUGGUGAAAUGCGUAGGUAUCGGGAGGAAUACCAGAGGCGAAGGCGACCUCCUGGGUCGCACCUGACGCUCAGACGCGAAAGCUAGGGGAGCAAACGGG